rnacentral:rRNA from 1 species
AGGGCACACAAUGGAUGCCUAGACGUAUAUUACCGAUGAAGGACGUGGAAGACUGCGAUAAGCUUCGGGAAGCUGUCAACAAGCUUUGAUCCGGAGAUCUCCGAAUGGGGAAACCCAGCAUGAGUCAUGUCAUGUUGCCACUUGCUGAACACAUAGGCAAGCGAGCGGGAACCAUCUGAACUGAAACAUCUUAGUAGGAUGAGGAAGAGAAAGUAAAUAACGAUUGCGAAAGUAGUGGCGAGCGAAAUCGCAACAGCCCAAACCUUUUAAGUUUUUGCCUAUUAAUUUAGGCAAAUAAGUUGAUAGACGAAUACUUAUAAGGGGUUGUGAUAUUACAUAUGACCAAGUCAGAGAAUUUGAUUCAUUCAAAUAAUCUGAUUUGCGAUAACUGGCUAUCAACAGUUAGUAAGGUAAGAAAUCGGCGUGGUUAGUAGAAUAGUUUGAAUGACUAGCCAAAGAACGUGAAAGCCGUGUAUAUGAAAACGACGCUGACCUUAUGUAUGUUUUAUCGAGUAGGACGGGGCACGAGAAACCCUGUUUGAAUCUGGCUGGACCACCAGCCAAGGCUAAAUAUAAUAUACGAUCGAUAGUGAACUAGUACAGCGAUGGAAAGGUGAAAAGAACCCCGGGAGGGGAGUGAAAUAGAACCUGAAAUUGUGUGCCUACAAGGAGUCGGAGCCGGCUUGUCCGGUGACGGCGUGCUUUUUGUAGAACGAUCCAGCGAGUUAAUUUUUACAGCGAGGUUAAGUCAAUUGACGGAGCCACAGUGAAAGCGAGCCUGAAUAGGGCGAAUAAGUUGUAAGGAUUAGACCCGAAACCGGGUGACCUAACCAUGAGCAGGUUGAAGCCACUGUAACAGGUGGUGGAGGACCGAACCAGGAUACGCAGCAAAGUGUUUGGAUGACUUGUGGUUAGCGGUGAAAUGCCAAUCGAACUCGGAGAUAGCUGGUUCUCCUCGAAAUAGCUUUAGGGCUAGCGUCGUGUUAGUAGCACAUGGGGGUAGAGCUCUGUAAAGGACUGGGGCGGGCAACUGUACCCACCCUUAACAAACUACGAAUACCAUGUGUGUAAUCACGGCAGUUAGAACAUCGGUGCUAAGAUCGGUGCUCGAAAGGGAAACAGCCCAGACCAUCAUCUAAGGUCCCUAAAUUAACGUUCAGUGGGAAACAAGGUGAGAUUUCUUAAACAGCUAGGAUGUUGGCUUAGAAGCAGCCAUUCAUUUAAAGAGUGCGUAACAGCUCACUAGUCAAGAGAUCUUGCGUGGAAAAUGUAACGGGGCUAAAACGUUAUACCGAAGAUAUGGAUGUCAGAUUUAUCUGGCGUGGUAGAGGAGCGUUCCUAUCAGCAGUGAAGUCGAAUCGGAAGGUUCGGUGGAGCGGUAGGAAGUGAGAAUGCUGGAAUGAGUAACCAUAAGAGAGGUGAGAAUCCUCUCGGCCGUAAGAGCAAGGUUUCCUGAGCCAUGGUAAUCAUCUCAGGGUUAGUCGGGCCUAAGCCGAGGCGCAGAGCGUAGGCGAUGGACAUCAGGUUAAUAUUCCUGAACCGGUUAAGUUUUGUACACUGUUCACGGGGAAGUAAUCGAAGCGGAUUCAUGGUUUAUCCGUCCAACCGAGCGGGAACGCAAAGGGAGUGAAAGUGAUUCUUCGGAGUCGCGAUUUUGGUGAAAGCCCUGGCUAGAAAAGCAGGUGUACGCGUGGACUUAGCCGCCCGUACCGCAAACCAACACAGGUGCUCGAGUCGAGUAGACUCAGGCUUACGAGCGAACCUUCGCUAAGGAACUCGGCAAUACAGCGACCGUAACUUCGGGAUAAGGUCUGCCCCCACUUCGGUGGAUAUCAGCCGCGUUCACUCAGUGAAUAUUAGGUUAAAGAGUACAUUUUUAAUCACAAAACGAAUUUUCUGAGAUAGAGCAAACGAAUUGUUCUUUUGAACGCGAACCUCUGGCAUCUAACGAUGUGGGGGCCGCAGCAAAAGAGCCCACGGAACUGUUUAUCAAAAACACAGGUCUCUGCUAACACGAAAGUGGAUGUAUAGGGGCUGACUCCUGCCCAAUGCUGGAAGGUUAAGGGGAGCGCUUCACGGUGCGAACUGAAGCCCUAGUCAAUGGCGGCGGUAACUAUAACCGUCCUAAGGUAGCGAAAUUCCUUGUCAGGUAAGUUCUGACCCGCACGAAUGGAGUAAUCAUGUGGGCACUGUCUCGGCGAAGGACUCGGUGAAAGUGCAUUGGCGGUAAAGAUGCCGUCUGUCCAUGCCAGGACGAGAAGACCCCAUGGAGCUUUACUACAGCUUUACAUUGACACGGGUUACAUCAUGUGUAGCAUAGGUGGGAGGCUUUGAAGCAGAUACGCCAGUAUUUGUGGAGCCACAGGUGAAAUACCACCCUUGAUGUAGUCUUUGUCUUACCAUUGCCGUUAUCCGGUAAUGGGACCGUGUAUGGUGGGUAGUUUAACUGGGGCGGUUGCCUCCUAAAGAGUAGCGG